GGAUCGGUAGCUCAAUGGCAGAGCAAGGUGCUCAUAACUCCUGGGUUACAGGUUCGAGUCCUGUCCGAUCCA
rnacentral:tRNA from 5 species